rnacentral:rRNA from 1 species
GACGAACGCUGGCGGCGUGCCUAAUACAUGCAAGUCGAACGCAGUGGCGGACGGGUGAGUAAUGCCUAGGAAACUGACGGGUAGUGGGGGAUAACGUCCGGAAAAGGGCGCUAAAAUCGCAUAAGAGCAGAUGAGCGUAGGUCGGAUUAGCUAGGUGGUGGGGUACAGGCCUACCAAGGCGACGAUCCGUAACUGGUCUGAGAGGAUGAGCAGUCACACUGGAACUGAGACACGGUCCAGACUCCUACGGGAGGCAGCAGUGGGGAAUAUUGGACAAUGGGCGCAAGCCUGAUCCAGCCAUGCCGCGUGUGUGAAGAAGGUCUUCGGAUUGUAAAGCACUUUAAGUUGGGAGGCGUUACCCACAGAAUAAGCACCGGCUAACUUCGUGCCAGCAGCCGCGGUAAUAC